CAAAUUAUGGCGAACCUCGCGCUUCCCGAGGUUCUGCGUCCAUUUUCGUAUUUAAAACAUCCCACUCUUUAAAAAAAAAAAAAUUUAUCUAAUGAUAAAAUAAAAAAGA
rnacentral:misc_RNA from 1 species